rnacentral:rRNA from 1 species
GGGCACUCUAAGGAGACUGCCAGGGAUAACCCGGAGGAAGGCGGGGACGACGUCAAAUCAUCAUGCCCCUUAUGAUUUGGGCUACACACGUGCUACAAUGGCGUAAACAAAGGGAAGCGAGAGGGUGACGUGGAGCAAAUCCCAAAAAUAACGUCCCAGUUCGGACUGCAGUCUGCAACCCGACUGCACGAAGCUGGAAUCGCUAGUAAUCGCGAAUCAGAAUGUCGCGGUGAAUACGUUCCCGGGUCUUGUACACACCGCCCGUC